AUUGAACGCUGGCGGCAGGCCUAACACAUGCAAGUCGAACGGCAGCACAGAAGAGCUUGCUCUUUGGGUGGCGAGUGGCGGACGGGUGAGUAAUGUCUGGGAAACUGCCCGAUGGAGGGGGAUAACUACUGGAAACGGUAGCUAAUACCGCAUAACGUCGCAAGACCAAAGUGGGGGACCUUCGGGCCUCACACCAUCGGAUGUGCCCAGAUGGGAUUAGCUAGUAGGUGGGGUAAUGGCUCACCUAGGCGACGAUCCCUAGCUGGUCUGAGAGGAUGACCACCCACACUGGAACUGAGACACGGUCCAGACUCCUACGGGAGGCAGCAGUGGGGAAUAUUGCACAAUGGGCGCAAGCCUGAUGCAGCCAUGCCGCGUGUAUGAAGAAGGCCUUCGGGUUGUAAAGUACUUUCAGCGGGGAGGAAGGCGGUGAGGUUAAUAACCUCGCCGAUUGACGUUACCCGCAGAAGAAGCACCGGCUAACUCCGUGCCAGCCGCCGCUGUAA
rnacentral:rRNA from 1 species